GCCAGCAUGCCAUAGUGGUUUGAGUAGUGGACUACAUCUCUGGAGACCAGAGUUCGAUUCCCUGUUUGGGCA